UCUUCUGUGGCUAAGUUGGUUGAAGCGUCGGACUGCCGAUGCGGAUUCGUGGGUUCGAAUCUCACCAAAACAA
rnacentral:tRNA from 1 species